UCCACGUAAAAUGAAAAGCAAAAACAGUUUAAUUGUCUCAGCCACUAAAACACGAUCUCAACUCCCUACACUAAAACAACUUUAAACGACACUAGAAUCACUCAGAUAACAAAUUUGUUUACAAAUUUUUUUCAAACAGUUUACUUUCUUCCACAACCUAUGCCUGUGUCUUUCCUAUAAUUAUCUUUUUGUAAGAAAGGCUUUUGAUUUUUCUUAUCUUAAAAAGUUUUUGAAGCUGCGGAAGAAGCGAAGUUAUAGAUGGCUUCUGGAAAUUCGCUGGUAUACAUUGGUGGUGCAGACAAGUUCCUAUAGUUGUUUAGCAAAUGAAGGAGUCGUUGUUACCACGUAACGAGUUCUUUUGAGUCUCAGCAUUUAAUUUUCUGUAAUUAUACUCUCCUCUUCUUCUCUAUCGUUCCAUUUUCUUUGUCGUUUUAUUUUUUUGAGUAUAGCAAAGAUCUUUAUUCUAACAGCUUCUUCUCUUAUUCUGAAAAUAACUCUAUAUCAUUCCUUCUGCAUAAGUCAAGUUGAAGGUUUUCUCAGAUUAUACUUCUAUUUUAUAACUUUAUUGUUCACAGCAUAAUGGAAAAUCUGGGUUUUGUUUCGUAAAGUACUAUUAUCAGAGACAUGAAGUUAUUCUUAAUAUUAAAAACUAUAUUCUUCUGGAAAAAGGUAAACACAUUUUCAUUUAUAAUUAUGAUAUCCAAACUGUUUAAAUAGAUGAAACUCUUGUAUAUAGCAAGGCAAUGAAAUUCAACCUUUUUGAAAAAUCUUUUGUGGUAAAACAUGAUAAAAAAAUUGAAAGGGAAAUAGAAAAAAUCAGCUUGCUAUUGAUUUCUAUUUACUAAGUAUUUUAUGUAUAUAUUAUUUAAAGUUUAUUAACUUUUCCAAUCAAGCUAUAAUUUUUUUGCAGAUAUAUAAUUCAGAUAUGAAAAGCAGGUAAAUAUUCAUUUAAUAGAUUUACAUACAUUUAUAGAUUAAACAUGUUCUAUGAAAUUUAUAACUUUAUACAAUGAAUUUUAUAUUCCGAUGUGUUAUUUAGGUUUAGAAAAUAUGUGAAAAAAAUAAAUAAUUUAUUCUGAUAUAUUGAUAAGCUUUACAAUUUUAUGAUUUCUGCAAACAAAAAUAUAAUUUUAGUUAAAAAUAGGAUGAUAGUGAAAUUAAUUGACCCGUGCUUGGCACGGGAGGUAACUAGUAUAUAUAUAUAUACUGAAUAUAAGAAUAAUAAAUUAAAUUAUAAGGAUAAAUUUUACUAUCAGAUUUCUUGUUAUAUUAGUUUAUUAAAAAGAAUAUUAAUAAGAGAGUUAUUCAUCCGACGAACAAAACAUGCAUGGCUGUUGAUGUGGGUCGUAAAUUCGCAAUACCUAACUACUGUCACAUUUUCCCAGUAAGAUUGCACUUCACAGAACACAUACAUAAGUAAAAUCUUAUACAUCGAAAAAGAGGAGGAAAAAUGUGAUACUUAAGAUCACAAAGAAACAAAAGGUCAAAUAUAUAAGUGCGAUCUUAUUAUAUACCUUGGCCUUAUUAACAAAUAAUCACUACAAAAAAAGAAGUGAAUUGUAUCACUUAAUUUAUAUCACAAAAUAAAAUGAUUCUAUUUUAUAUCAUUUAUUUGUAAAUGAGACAAAUAUAUAAAAGUUAGCAUCAUUUAUAAGAAAGUGAUGUUUUAUUAAAUUAUUUGGCAUCAAUUCAGUAAAAUGACAUAUUUUUGUUGUAAGUUGUAUCACUUUAACAAAAAAUGAUACUAUUAUAGAAAGUUAUAUCAGUUAUAUAAAUGAUGUAUUUAUUUUGCUGUUGACAUCACUUAUUAAGGUGAUACUAAAUAAAACCGAUCCUAAUAAUUUUUUUAUAUAUCAUAUAUAAUUAUGUUAAAUAAUUUCAGUUACAAGAACUGAUGUAACAAUCACAAAACCAAAUAAAACAACCCACUAAAACCAAUCCGUUUAAAAACUAUUAUAAACUUCACAAUCCAAAAAUUACGUGAAGUAGUUACUGAUAUAUUCUUUGGGUUUGGUCUGUUUUUCUUUAAUUCAAUUAGUAUUUAUUCUAUAACUGUUUAUCUCAAUCAAAAAUCUUCUUCUCUAUCGUGAUCCUCAUUCAUGAGUUCUUCUCCUUCUCUCAAUUUUAAACUUUUUGUUAGUUUAAAUUUUUCAACAAAUAUUAUUCAUUUCUUUCUUAAAUUGAAUUAACGUCUCCGGUCUCUCUCUCUAUAUAUAUAUUUGUUUUUGUACAUUGUCGAGAUUUCAAAUUGUGAUGACAAUGAGGUGUUUAAAGAAAAAAUGAUGAUAAUAUCUAAGGAAGAAGAUGAUGAGACAUGAUGUGUCUAGGGUUCUUGGUAUUUUGAAGGUAUUAUAAACAGAUUUGAACUCUAGAAUAAAUCUUAGUUAUGUGGCAACUCUUUUUCCUAAAGAUUGGUACUAUUGUUUUGUCAGGUUUCAAUAGCAAUUGGGUUCGAUGCUGGAGUAUUGUCGUCUGGAGUACAUGAAAGCAGAAUCGUGGUCUGAAGAUGAAGAGUACAGGACUGCCUCAUGUUGUCUGAGGUAUAACUUGGAAAAGUAGGAGCAACAAGCUUCACGCCAUGAUGGAAAAUUGAGGAUGGAAAUAAAAUUCAAAGAACAAGAAGAAAAAAGAAGAAUCUAGAUAGAAGAAAAUCAUGAUCAGUUCUUUUUAACUAUUUUUUCUCUAAAUUCAUAUAUUUUACUGAUUUAUCUGUAAAGCUUCUUUAGUUUUUUUUUCUCGUCAAAUUAUACUUUCAGUGGAAAAGAAUAAGAAAUAGUCAAUGCAAUUAAUUUUUAUAUUUUAUUUAUUGACAAAUUUAUUUACCGUAUAAGAAUAAUUAAUAGUAUCUAAAUUUAAAAUUAUAAAAAAUAUAAUCAUUAAAAUAAUUUCCGAAUUUUAAUAUUUUUAAAUUUUAAUAAUUGAUAAAUAAUAAAUAAUUGAAAUCAAUUAUUAUAAUUGAUGUUAACACUAACAUCAUUUUAAAAAAACUGAUGCAAGUUUAAGUAUCAUUUUUUACAAUUGAUGUGUAUUUAACAUCACUUAAAAAUUGAUGCAAAUAUUCAAAUUUUUAACAUCAAUUAUUAAUAAAAUGAUGUAAAUUAUUUGCAUCACCACUUUCAGAGUCAUUUAUAUAAAUGAUACAAAUUUCUUUUACAUCAUUUAUAAGUGACUCAAAAAUAUAAAAUAAAUGAUGUUAGAUCAUCUUUUUUUUGUAGUGAAUGGAAACUUGAAUCAUCGAGCUCCUAUAUAUGGAGUGUGUUUUUCGUACGCGGAUGUGUGUCAAUGUCUCUUUGUACACGAAUCUUUGCGUGUCGAUCAAAUUCUAAUUAUUAGUUACAAAUAUAUAAUUUUUAUAUCAUACCAUAAUUCUACUUUUCUUUUGCCUUCGAUUUUAUUCCUUGUAUAAUUAACCAUUGGGAAAAAUCUCACUUCAUAUACGUGAAGUCAAAAUAACUGUUUUAACAACAGGUCAACGAAAUAAAAUAUCUAUAGGAGUCUGAAUGAAAUAAGAAAGAGAGAUAGAACUAUACAUAUCUUAUAUGACAAAAAGGAUUUUUAUUAUUUUCAGCAUUUACAAUUUACAAAAGCUUCAUGCCUCAAUUCGUGAUCGAGAUUGUAACAUAACGAAACGUGCGUAAGGAUUAGAAACACAAGGGUUUAGGGUAACUUUGGGGGAUUUUCACACUAAAUAUUCCUAAAGGAGAAAAACAAGAACUGGAAAAAGUCAAAUGUAACAAGCACAGAAAGAUAUAGGUCAGAUCACAGGACCCCUUAUUAACUUGCAAU